GACGGAGGAUGCAAGCGUUAUCCGGAAUGAUUGGGCGUAAAGCGUCUGCAGGUGGCAGUUCAAGUCUGCUGUCAAAGACCGGGGCUUAACUUCGGAAAGGCAGUGGAAACUGAACAGCUAGAGUAUGGUAGGGGCAGAGGGAAUUCCUGGUGUAGCGGUGAAAUGCGUAGAUAUCAAGAGGAACACCUGAGGUGAAGACGGGUUGCUGGGCUGACACUGACGCUGAGUGCGCGAAAGCCAGGGGAGCAAACGGG
rnacentral:rRNA from 1 species